rnacentral:tRNA from 1 species
ACGCCGGUGGUGUAAUGGCGUAGAGCAUUCCCGCCCGGUUAGAGGGAGGUGCGGGUUCGAGUCCCGCCUGGCGCU